rnacentral:rRNA from 1 species
AUGGACAGAGAAAGAUACCACAACACACUGAUGAGGUGCUCAUUGGUCAAGGACCUUGAAAUGUUGCCAUAUGGAGAUUGUACUCAAAUUGGGGAGAGAGGAGUAAAUCUUAGUGGUGGUCAGAAGCAGCGCGUCCAGCUUGCUCGUGCACUAUACCAAAAUGCGGACAUCUAUCUUCUUGAUGAUCCUUUCAGUGCCGUUGAUGCCCAUACAGCCACAAGUCUCUUCAAUGAAUAUGUCAUGAGUGCUCUAUCAGACAAGACUGUUCUCUUGGUGACCCACCAAGUGGAUUUUUUACCUGCAUUUGACUCCAUUUUGUUAAUGUCGGAUGGAGAGGUUAUCCAGUCUGCACCUUAUCAAGAUUUAUUGGCAGAUUGUGAAGAAUUUAAAAACCUUGUCACUGCCCAUAAAGAUACUAUUGGUGCAUCGGAUCUUAAUAACAAUAUGCCCCCUCAAAGAUCUAAGGAAGUAUCAAUAAAGGAGACAGAUGGUAUUCAUGGAAGCAGAUAUACAGAGUCUAUGAAGCCAUCGCCGGCAGAUCAACUGAUCAAGAAAGAGGAAAGAGAAAAAGGGGAUUCAGGUGUUAAGCCUUAUAUGCUUUAUCUGCGCGAGAACAAAGGCUUCCUGUAUUUCUCCUUUUGUGUUAUUUUUCACAUAAUUUUCGUAGCUGGGCAAAUAUCACAGAAUUCAUGGAUGGCUGCUAAUGUCCAGAAUCCUCAUGUUAGUACGCUGAAGUUAAUUUCUGUGUACAUUAUAAUUGGAGUUUGCACAAUGUUCUUCAUGCUAUCAAGAUCUUUAGUAGUCGUCGUUCUUGGGAUCCAGACAUCAAGAUCCUUAUUUUCCCAGUUGCUCAAAUCAAUGUUCCGUGCACCAAUGUCCUUUUUUGAUUCUACUCCUGUAGGAAGGGUUCUUAGCCGGGCCUCUUCAGAUUUGAGUAUCAUUGACCUCGAUCUUCCAUUUGCCUUCGUGUUUAGCCUUGGCGAUACUUUAAAUACAUAUAGCAAUCUAGGGGUAUUGGUUGUUGCUACAUGGGAAGUUUUAUUUGUAUCUGUGCCAAUGAUAGUUUUGGCAAUUAGGUUGCAGAGGUACUAUCUAGCCUCGGCCAAGGAGCUGAUGCGGAUCAAUGGUACUACCAAGUCUGCUCUGGUGAAUCACUUAGGCGAAUCGAUUUCAGGGGCUAUAACAGUAAGGGCCUUUGGGGAAGAAGAUCGUUUCUUUGCUAAAAAUUUGGAUCUUGUCGACAAGAAUGCCAGUGCAUAUUUCUGUAAUUUUGCCGCAACUGAAUGGUUGAUUCAACGCCUGGAAAUAAUGAGCGCCUCCGUGCUUUCUUUUUCUGCCUUUGUCAUGGCUCUUCUUCCUCAAGGAACUUUUAGCCCUGGUUUUGUGGGAAUGGUAUUGUCCUAUGGUCUUUCGCUAAAUGUGUCCUUUGUUUGCUCUAUUCAAAACCAAUGCAACCUUGCGAAUCAAAUAAUCUCAGUGGAACGGGUGAACCAGUACAUGGACAUACAAAGUGAAGCAACGGAAGUUAUUGAAGAAAAUCGGCCAUUGCAAGAUUGGCCCCAAGAUGGCUAUGUGGAACUUAGAGAUUUGAAGAUCAGGUAUAGGAAAGAUACUCCCCUUGUACUACAUGGAAUCACUUGCAAGUUCCAAGGUGGAGAUAAGAUUGGUAUAGUUGGUCGGACAGGAAGUGGCAAGACAACGUUAAUUGGUGCAUUAUUUCGUCUUGUUGAACCUGAUGAAGGGAAAAUAAUUAUAGACUCUAUGGACAUCGGUACGAUAGGGUUACAUGACCUGCGUUCGCGUUUGGGUAUCAUUCCACAAGAUCCAAUACUUUUUCAUGGUACAAUAAGAUAUAAUCUAGAUCCUCUUGGACAAUUCUCAGAUCUAGAAAUAUGGGAGGUUCUUGGCAAAUGUCAACUUCUUGAAGCUGUCCAAGAGAAGGGACAUGGAUUGGAUUCACUUGUUGUGGAAGAUGGGUCGAACUGGAGCAUGGGCCAAAGACAGCUCUUCUGUCUGGGACGCGCACUUUUGAGAAGAUGCCGCGUCUUAGUUCUUGAUGAAGCGACAGCCUCUAUAGACAACGCAACAGAUGUUGUCCUUCAGAAAACGAUCCGAACAGAGUUCAAAUAUUGCACCGUUAUUACAGUUGCACACCGUAUACCAACAGUUAUGGACUGUGAUAUGAUACUUGCAUUGAGAGAUGGGAGAGUAGCAGAGUAUGACAAGCCUGCAAAGCUCAUGGAGACUGAAGGAUCUCUCUUUCGUGAGCUGGUCAAGGAAUAUCGGUCACACACAUCAAACACAAAUAUUAGAAGAGACUGUCAAUUUUGA